rnacentral:rRNA from 1 species
UGGGGAAUAUUGCACAAUGGGCGCAAGCCUGAUGCAGCCAUGCCGCGUGUGUGAAGAAGGCCUUCGGGUUGUAAAGCACUUUCAGCGAGGAGGAAGGCAAUCGUGUUAAUAGCACGGUUGAUUGACGUUACUCGCAGAAGAAGCACCGGCUAACUCCGUGCCAGCAGCCGCGGUAAUACGGAGGGGGCAAGCGUUAAUCGGAAUUACUGGGCGUAAAGCGCACGCAGGCGGUUUGUUAAGUCAGAUGUGAAAUCCCCGCGCUUAACGUGGGAACUGCAUUUGAAACUGGCAAGCUAGAGUCUUGUAGAGGGGGGUAGAAUUCCAGGUGUAGCGGUGAAAUGCGUAGAGAUCUGGAGGAAUACCGGUGGCGAAGGCGGCCCCCUGGACAAAGACUGACGCUCAGGUGCGAAAGCGUGGGGAGCAAACA